rnacentral:rRNA from 2 species
GCCGGCGGUGUGCCUAAUACAUGCAAGUCGAACGCGUUGGCCCAAUUGAUUGAUGGUGCUUGCACCUGAUUGAUUUUGGUCGCCAACGAGUGGCGGACGGGUGAGUAACACGUAGGUAACCUGCCCAGAAGCGGGGGACAACAUUUGGAAACAGAUGCUAAUACCGCAUAACAGCGUUGUUCGCAUGAACAACGCUUAAAAGAUGGCUUCUCGCUAUCACUUCUGGAUGGACCUGCGGUGCAUUAGCUUGUUGGUGGGGUAACGGCCUACCAAGGCGAUGAUGCAUAGCCGAGUUGAGAGACUGAUCGGCCACAAUGGGACUGAGACACGGCCCAUACUCCUACGGGAGGCAGCAGUAGGGAAUCUUCCACAAUGGGCGCAAGCCUGAUGGAGCAACACCGCGUGAGUGAAGAAGGGUUUCGGCUCGUAAAGCUCUGUUGUUAAAGAAGAACACGUAUGAGAGUAACUGUUCAUACGUUGACGGUAUUUAACCAGAAAGUCACGGCUAACUACGUGCCAGCAGCCGCGGUAAUACGUAGGUGGCAAGCGUUAUCCGGAUUUAUUGGGCGUAAAGAGAGUGCAGGCGGUUUUCUAAGUCUGAUGUGAAAGCCUUCGGCUUAACCGGAGAAGUGCAUCGGAAACUGGAUAACUUGAGUGCAGAAGAGGGUAGUGGAACUCCAUGUGUAGCGGUGGAAUGCGUAGAUAUAUGGAAGAACACCAGUGGCGAAGGCGGCUACCUGGUCUGCAACUGACGCUGAGACUCGAAAGCAUGGGUAGCGAACAGGAUUAGAUACCCUGGUAGUCCAUGCCGUAAACGAUGAGUGCUAGGUGUUGGAGGGUUUCCGCCCUUCAGUGCCGGAGCUAACGCAUUAAGCACUCCGCCUGGGGAGUACGACCGCAAGGUUGAAACUCAAAGGAAUUGACGGGGGCCCGCACAAGCGGUGGAGCAUGUGGUUUAAUUCGAAGCUACGCGAAGAACCUUACCAGGUCUUGACAUCUUGCGCCAACCCUAGAGAUAGGGCGUUUCCUUCGGGAACGCAAUGACAGGUGGUGCAUGGUCGUCGUCAGCUCGUGUCGUGAGAUGUUGGGUUAAGUCCCGCAACGAGCGCAACCCUUGUUACUAGUUGCCAGCAUUAAGUUGGGCACUCUAGUGAGACUGCCGGUGACAAACCGGAGGAAGGUGGGGACGACGUCAGAUCAUCAUGCCCCUUAUGACCUGGGCUACACACGUGCUACAAUGGACGGUACAACGAGUCGCGAACUCGCGAGGGCAAGCAAAUCUCUUAAAACCGUUCUCAGUUCGGACUGCAGGCUGCAACUCGCCUGCACGAAGUCGGAAUCGCUAGUAAUCGCGGAUCAGCAUGCCGCGGUGAAUACGUUCCCGGGCCUUGUACACACCGCCCGUCACACCAUGAGAGUUUGUAACACCCAAAGUCGGUGGGGUAACCUUUUAGGAGCCAGCCGCCUAAGGUGGACAGAUGAUA